UCAGGAUGAAUUAUUCAAAAUUCAUAUCAGCAGUUUCGGCCAGAAGAAAACCGUCAGGAAUCAGUGACUUGCAAUUGUUGUUGACUACGCCAUCGCCGUCAAUGGUGUGGUUGGCCUCAGGGAUACCUAACCCAAAACAGUUUCCUUUCAAGAAGGUGAGCAUCACCUUACAAGAUGAUAGGUUGCUCACCCUCACACCAGACAUGCUGUGCUCUGCUCUCCAGUAUGGUCCUACACCAGGAUAUACACCACUGUUGAAGCAGCUCAAAGCUAUGACAAAACUUCAUCACUCUCCACCAAAGUGGGAAGAAUGCGACAUCUUAGUUACAGCGGGGUGUCAACAAGGUCUGUCUAUAGCCUUCGAAAUGUUGCUCAACCCAGGAGACAUUGUUGUGGUCGAGGACCCUUGCUACUCCGAUGUUCUC